UACGUAGGGCGCAAGCGUUGUCCGGAAUUACUGGGCGUAAAGGGCGCGUAGGUGGCCUUCUUAGUCAGACGUGAAAUCCCCGGGCUUAACUCGGGAACUGCGUCUGAUACUGGAAGGCUCGAGUUCGGGAGAGGAAUGUGGAAUUCCAGGUGUAGCGGUGAAAUGCGUAGAUAUCUGGAGGAACACCGGUGGCGAAGGCGGCAUUCUGGACCGAAACUGACGCUGAGGCGCGAAAGCCAGGGGAGCAAAGCGGG
rnacentral:rRNA from 1 species